rnacentral:lncRNA from 1 species
UUUUGUUUUAAUCUGUGUCAAAAAAGCGUUUACCAGAACGUAAUAGGUGUUUGCACAUAACGUAAUAGGUGUUUGCACAUAACGUAAUAGGUGUUUGCACAUAACGUAAUAGGUGUUUGGACAUAACGUAAUACGUGUUUGCACACAACGUAAUAGAUGUUUGGACAUAAUGUAAUAGGCAUUUGCACAUAACUUACAUGGUGUUUGCACAUAAUGUAAGCGGUAUUUGCACAUAACGUAAUAGUGUUUGCACAUAAUGAUGUAGUUUUUAUACAUAACUUAAUAGGU